rnacentral:sRNA from 2 species
GUCCAUUGUGUCUGCCCCUGUCUACAAAUCGGCACGUACACUGUGCUGCAGAGUACGCAGUCGCCUGCUUGGGUUCUUAUCCUUCCUUGCUUUCUCCUCGUAAAUGGCCAGCAGCCUGUCUCAAUGCGGAUGGUUGAGAUACGAGCACCAUUGUUUGGCAUUCCUCUGACUACAGCAAUGCGGCUCAGAGAGAUUCUGCCUUUUGUUGAGGACGGUCAUAGUCAUCAUUAUAUACUAGAAGAGCAUCAACUUAAGUCUCUAGGUCAAAACGAAUCCAUGGAUUAUGUCCUAGGACAACCCAGCUCGGAGCGCACAAUGUCAACUCGCC